UACGGAGGGUGCAAGCGUUAUCCGGAUUCAUCUGGGUUUAAAGGGUGCGUAGGUGGGCUAGUAAGUCCGUGGUGAAAAUCUCCAAGGCUUAACUUGGAACUGCCGUGGAUACUAUUAGUCUUGAAUAUUGUGGAGGUAAGCGGAAUAUGUCAUGUAGCGGUGAAAUGCUUAGAUAUGACAUAGAACACCGAUAGCGAAGGCAGCUUGCUACACAAAUUAUUGACACUGAGGCACGAAAAGCGUAGGGAGUCAAACAGGA
rnacentral:rRNA from 1 species